rnacentral:tRNA from 1 species
GGGAUUAUGGUGUAACGGUUAGCACAGCACUCUGUGGAAGUGCGGGCGAGAGUUCAAUUCUCUCUAAUCCCCCA